rnacentral:rRNA from 1 species
GAUGAACGCUGGCGGCGUGCCUAAUACAUGCAAGUCGAGCGAACAGACGAGGAGCCUGCUCCUCUGACGGUAGCGCCGGGCGAGAUAGUAAUCCGUGGGUAACCUACCUAUAAAACUGAGAUAACUUCCGGAAACCGGAGCUAAUACCGGAUAUUAUAUGGAACGGCAUGGUCCACUAUGGAAUGAGGAUUUUGUUGUCUCUUAUCGAUGCAUGCGCGCCGCCUUUGGUAGUUGGUAAGGUAACGGCAUACCCAGGCAACGUGGCGUAGCCGACCUGAGAGCGUGGUCGGCCACACGGGAAGUGAGACACGGUCCAGACUCCUACGCGGGGCAGCAGUAGGGAAUCUUCCGCAAUGGAGGAAAGCCUAACGGUGCAACGCCGCGUGAGUGAUGAAGGUCUUCGGAUCGGAGAACGCUGUUAGUAGGGAAGAAGAAAAGUGUAAGUAACUAUGCACGUCUUGACGGUACCUAAAGAGGAAGCCACGGCUAACUACGUG